rnacentral:rRNA from 1 species
GACGAACGCUGGCGGCGUGCUUAACACAUGCAAGUCGAACGGAAAGGCCCUGCUUGCCGGGUGCUCGAGUGGCGAACGGGUGAGUAACACGUGGGUGAUCUGCCCCUUACUUUGGGAUAAGCCUGGGAAACUGGGUCUAAUACUGGAUAGGACCAUGCUGUAGGUGGUGUGGUGGAAAGAUUAGUUUCGGUAAGGGAUGAGCUCGCGGCCUAUCAGCUUGUUGGUGGGGUAAUGGCCUACCAAGGCGUCGACGGGUAGCCGGCCUGAGAGGGUGGACGGCCACAUUGGGACUGAGAUACGGCCCAGACUCCUACGGGAGGCAGCAGUGGGGAAUAUUGCACAAUGGGCGCAAGCCUGAUGCAGCGACGCCGCGUGGGGGAUGGCGGCCUUCGGGUUGUAAACUCCUUUCAGCCAUGACGAAGCCCUUGUGGUGACGGUAGUGGUAGAAGAAGCACCGGCUAACUACGUG